rnacentral:rRNA from 1 species
AUGAGUGACACGAAGCGCCAUCGCUCCGAGGAGAGCUAUAAGGAGGAGGAGGAGGAGGAGGAGGAGAGCGACACCAAGGACGGCGACAAGGCUGACUCCUCCUCGUCCGAGACCGUCCCCAAGGAGCACCGCACCAAGGCGCAGAAUGAUCCGAGUGCUCGAGCGGGCGGUGCCCGGGCGCCGAGUGACGACCCGAAGUCGACUUCCCGGGUUCCAGCCCCCAGCACGAAGCACAUUGCCACCAAGCCUCGCAAGGCUUCCAUGCCGAAGAUCAAGGUGGUGGUGCAGGUGGCUUCGACCAAUGAGACAUCGACGACCUCAUUGGAUACGAACGCCUCCAAGCAAGGCCAAACAGAGGGUGAUGCCGUGGACACCGCCACCUCCAAAGCGCCGACUGAGAAGAUCCAACAGGACGACGACGACAAGGCCAGCCUGCUGAACCCGAAGGUUGACAUGAGGGAGACGACUGGCACCGACGUAGCCAUGCGCAACACCUCGCCGAGCCGAGUGGACAGCGUUUCUCCUGCCAAGGCUGUCGCGAAACCUGCAUGUCCGAGUCCUCUGGCUCAGGCAGGCUUAGAGCUCGUGACUACAGUCUCGGCAUCCAGGCCCGCGCUCGUGCCGCACCUGAUCCCCGUUACCGCCUUCACACUGCAUAGGGUCCCAGAGGACCAGGUGGGUGCGAGCAAGGAGGUCUUGAUCCAGGUGAAGCUAAUGAAUGAGUGGCUAGGCGUAUAA